GCAAUAAGUCAAAUUCUGCACCUAUUGGAGUUGCUUUAACAUGAAAGGUUCACCCAUUCUGGAGUUUCAUUCCACAGGAGUUGGGCUUCAGCUUUAUCUCUGUGAUUGUUCUAUCUACAAGGACAAGUAUUUACAAGGAAUUCUCUGGCACUGAAAAUAGUAUCUGAAGUGGCUAUUGCACUGUGGAUCAACAUAGCUUUUGUGUGAAAGUAAACAUGAGAAAUUCUGCAGAUACUGGAAAUCCACAGCAACACAUGACCAAUGUGAAGGAACUCAGCAGAUCCAGAAUGUCUACAGGCGUACCGCGGGGAGCCUUCUAACUGGUGGCAUCAUCGUCUGAUUUGGAGGGGCCACCGCACAGGAUCAGGAAAAGCUGCAGGAAGUUAUAAACUCAGCCAGCUCCAUCAUGGGCGCAAGCCUCCCCGGAAUUAAGGGCAAAUUCAAAAACCGAUGCCUCAAAAAGGCAGUAUGCACCAUUAAAGACCCCCAUCACCCAGAACAUGUCCUCGUCUCAUUGCUACCAUCACUGAGGAGAUGCUGUUGGACGCGCUGGGCUCCUCCGACAGUCUGCUUACCGCUUCAGAUUCCAACAACAGCAGUCACUCGCACAAACUUCUCAAUGUAAUUCUAAGCAAAGUGAAAACUUCCCUUAAUGCACGACUAUAGGGAAGAUUCCUGUGUGCUCUACUUUGGACUUGUCUUUCAACACAUUCCUGUUCUCAGAUGUAUCAUCCAUCUAUCCAAUUCCCCAACCCACUCCCUCCUCUCCUUCCCCAAGAGCAGAGCCCUAGAAAGUUUCCUGACACAAUAGCUCAAAGUAAAACUUAUUAUCAAAGUUCAAUGUAAAUUUAUUAUCAAGGUACAUAUAUGUCACCAUAUACAACCCUGUGGAUUCACUUUCUUGUGGACAUACUCUAUAAAUCCAUAAUAGAAUAUUAAGCACACAGAAUCAAUGAAAGACCACACUAACUGUAUGUUCAGCCCUUGUGCAAAAGAGAACAAACUGUGCAAAUACAAAAAGAAAGACAUAUUAAUAAUAAUAAACAUAUAAACAAUACAUAUGGAGCACUUGAGAUGAAGAGUCCUUGGAGUACAGUAGUCAAUCAUCUAGAAAUGGAAGAAAUAUGGCACAGUUAUAAACUGCCUAGAGCAGGCUGACUUCAAAAACUGAGUGACCAUACAAGAAUGGGUCGAGUCAGUGAGGCUACCAUGAGACCUAUGACAACUCUGGAGAAGUUACGAGCUUCAGUGGCUGAAACGGGAGAGGCUGCACAUACAACCAUUGCCCGGGUGCUUCACCAGUCACAGCUUUAUGGGAAAGUGACAAAGGGAAAGCUACUGUUGAAAAAAGCUCACAUGAAAUCUCAGCUAGAGUUUGGCAGAAGGCAUGUGGGAGACUCUAGUCAGCUGGAAUAAGGUUCUAUAAUCUGAUGAAACCAAAAUUGAGCUUUCGGACCAUCAGACUUCAUGCCAUAAGCCAAACACUGCACUUCAUUGACUUCAUCUACUAAAUACUGACUUGAAGGAGGUGAGUAAUUAUGCAAUCAAUUAGUUUGUGUUAAAUAAUUGUAAUAAUUUUAGAUCAAUUUGUAGAAAUUUGUUUUCACUUUGAUACUG